GGGCGCGUAGCUCAGCUGGUUAGAGCGUUCGGUUCACAUCCGAGAGGUCAGGGGUUCGAGUCCCUUCGCGCCCA
rnacentral:tRNA from 1 species